GGCUGGUCAGAUGGUAGUGGGUUAUCAGAACUUAUUAACAUUAGUGUCACUGAAGUUGGCAUUCAAUCCCCCCACUGCUAAAUUUGACUGGCUUUUA
ensembl:misc_RNA Y_RNA Y RNA